UCAAAUAAUUAUUAAUUUUCCUAAAAAAAAUUUUUUUAAUUUUUUCAAGUUAUUAAAAUAAAACAAAAUAAUAUUAUUUAAAAUAAAAAUAUUUAAAUAAAAUAUUUUAAAAUUAAAUUAAAUAUUUUUACCUUUUGUAUCAGGGAUAAUUAAAAUUAAAUUAUAUUAAUUAAAUCUCGAAAAAAAAAAAAUUAAAUAUAAAAUAUUUUAUUAUAAAAUUAAUAUUAAUAAUUUAUAUUUAGAAACAAUAUAUUAACCGAUUUUUUUGAUAUCUAGUUAUUUAAUAAAUUAAUUUAAUUAAGUAAUAAAAUAAAAUAUUUUAAAAUAAUAUACUAAAAUUUUUUUAUUAUAAAAAUUAAAGGGAUAAACUUUUAAUUUUAAAUUAAAAUUUGUAAUUAUACAAUUUAAUACCAUAAAUAUAAUAAUAAUUAAUGUUAAAAAAUAUAUAAUAAUUUAAUUAAAUUUAAUCAAUAUUUAUAAAUAAUUUAAAAUUUUAUUAAAUUUUAUUAAAUAAUUUAAAUUUAAUAAUAAUAAUGAUUAUAUUAGUAAAUACAAAAAUAAAAAAAUAAAAAAUUGUAAAAAAAAUUUUAUUAAUGAAUUAAGCAAAUAAUAUAUUCACCUGUUUAACAAAAACAUGUCUUAUUGAAAAUAAUUUUAAGUCUAAUCUGCCCAAUGAUAAUUUAAUGGCUGCAGUAUCAAUAACUGUACAAAGGUAGCAUAAUAAUUAGUUUUUUAAUUGAAAACUAGAAUGAAAGAUUAAAUGAAAUAUAAACUUUAUAAAUAAAAUAAAAAUUUAAAUUAAAUUUUAAGUUAAAAUUCUUAAAUAAUAUUAAAAGACGAGAAGACCCUUUAGAAUUUUAUAUUAAAAAUAAUUAAAUUUAUAAUAAUUCAUAUAUAAAUUACUUUUAAUAUUUAAUUGGGGUAAUUUUAUAAUUUAAUAAACUUUUAAAUAAAUAAUACAUAAAUUAAUGAAAAUAUAAACCUAAUUUUUAGAAUAUUAAAAUAAAUUACCUUAGGGAUAACAGCGUAAUUUUUUUUGAAAGUUCACAUUUAUAAAAAAGAUUGCGACCUCGAUGUUGAAUUAAGAUUAAAUUAAAAGCAAAAAUUUAAUAAUUUAAGUCUGUUCGACUUUUAAAAUCUUACAUGAUUUGAGUUAAGAUCGGUGUAAGCCAGAUCGGAUUCUAUCUUUAAAUAAAAUUAAUAUAAUUGUACGAAAGGAAUUUAUAAUAUAAAUAAUUUAUUAAAUAUUUUAAUAAAAUA
rnacentral:rRNA from 1 species